CUCGUAGGCGGUCCGUUGCGUCUGCCGUGAAAACCCGGGCUCAACCCCGGGCCUGCGGUGGAUACGGGCGGACUAGAGUUCGGUAGGGGAGACUGGAAUUCCUGGUGUAGCGGUGGAAUGCGCAGAUAUCAGGAGGAACACCGGUGGCGAAGGCGGGUCUCUGGGCCGGAACUGACGCUGAGGAGCGAAAGCGUGGGGAGCGAACA
rnacentral:rRNA from 1 species